rnacentral:rRNA from 1 species
GAGGAAUAUUGGUCAAUGGGCGCGAGCCUGAACCAGCCAAGUCGCGUGAAGGAUGACGGUCCUAUGGAUUGUAAACUUCUUUUGUGCAGGAAUAAAGUGAGGAACGUGUUCCUUUUUGUAUGUACUGUACGAAUAAGCAUCGGCUAACUCCGUGCCAGCAGCCGCGGUAAUACGGAGGAUGCGAGCGUUAUCCGGAUUUAUUGGGUUUAAAGGGUGCGUAGGCGGGCUGAUAAGUCAGUGGUGAAAGUUUGCAGCUUAACUGUAAAAUUGCCAUUGAAACUGUUAGUCUUGAGUGCAAAUGAGGUAGGCGGAAUGUGUUGUGUAGCGGUGAAAUGCUUAGAUAUAACACAGAACUCCGAUUGCGAAGGCAGCUUACUGGGAUGCAACUGACGCUGAUGCACGAAAGCGUGGGUAUCAAAC